rnacentral:misc_RNA from 1 species
GAUGAAGAACGUAGCGAAACGCGAUAUGUAAUGUGAAUUGCAGAAUUCAGUGAAUCAUCGAAUCUUUGAACGCACAUGGCGCCUUCCAGUAUCCUGGGAGGCAUGACUGUCUGAGCGUCAUUUCAACCCUCAUGCCCCUAGGGCGUGGUGUUGGGGAUCGGCCAAAGCCCGCGAGGGACGGCCGGCCCCUAAAUCUAGUGGCGGACCCGUCGUGGCCUCCUCUGCGAAGUAGUGAUAUUCCGCAUCGGAGAGCGAUGAGCCCCUGCCGUUAAACCCCCAACUUUCCAAGGUUGACCUCAGAUCAGGUAGGAAUACCCGCUGAACUUAAGCAUAUCAAUAAGCGGAGGA